rnacentral:rRNA from 1 species
AUGGCCUGAAUUGUCAACAAGGAGUUUGCUGAGUUGGCCCAGACGGGGAUGAACUACCUGUCAUGGGCCUCGGACUGUUAGAUCUUUCUCCAGGGCAAAACCCUCCUGAGGGCGAUCGGUAAGGGGACCCACCUGGCCCCCACUGAUCCCAAGUUCGAAACUGAGAAUGCGCAGGCUCUGCAUUUUAUCCGUCAUCACUUGUCACCUACUCUGAAAGAUGAGUAUAUGGCUGAGCGGAGUGCUUCUGGCCUUUGGACCGCUCUUAAGCAGCGGUUUGAGCGGCUGAAGUACACUGUGAAGCCACGUGCAGAGGCAGAUUGGAUCCGUCUGAGCCAAAAGAUUGAGAAAACCCUAUCCACUUUCCACCCUGACGCGGUCCUGUCCGCACAGAACUACCGCGGGGGCAACUACACAAGGUAUUCAGAGUUGAUUGACGUCCUCCAGGUGGCAGAGGCGCAAGAUGAGGUUCUGAAAAAGAACUUUGUCGCGCAACCACUUGGGGGCAGUUCUCACCAGGAGGUGAGGUGAAUGCUCUCAAAGUCCGCAAUCCUCAACAGAAGAAGAGGGGCCGCAAGGGCAAGAAGUGUUGGGGAACAUAGUAAUUUCAAAAAAAUUCCUACGCGCACGCAAGAUCAUGGUGAUGCAUAUCAACGAGGGGAGAGUGUGAUCUACGUACCCUUGUAG